CGGAUGGGUGAGUAACGCGUAGGAACCUGUCCUUUUGUGGGGGAUACCAGUGGGAAACCGCUGCUAAUACCGCAUAAGGUUGCGAGGGGAGACCCUUGUAAAGAAAGGCGAAAGCCGCAGAAGGAGGGGCCUGCGUCCGAUUAGCUAGUUGGUGUGGUAACGGCAUACCAAGGCGACGAUCGGUAGCUGGUCUGAGAGGAUGGUCAGCCACACUGGGACUGAGACACGGCCCAG
rnacentral:rRNA from 1 species